CCGGUGUGUUUGGCCGGGAGGGAGGUGAACGAGUGAGUUAGGAACUCGGCUCGCUAGUGUAGUUAGUCUACAAGGCAGUAGUUGCAAGUUGCUUCGACAUGCAUAACACAUGAGUUCUACAAUCGGUUUUCGAUGUUUACAAUUCAGAUCAUAGUGUCGUAUAAGUGCGCGAGGGGGUGAUUAUUUUUUUUCGCGAAUUUGGUUUAGUUUUUUUUUUUUUUAAUUGCUCUUAUGUCGCCCGCCGCACUGAGUUGUAAAUGCGUUAAUUAUCGUAAUAAUAAUAUUGUCGGCGUUAAAUAGGUGUUUUUUUUUUUUUUUAAAUUUGAGACGCGGCCGAUUUGUAUUAUAGAGGCAGAUUUUUUCGGCGCGAGAAUUUGCGAUAUAAUUUGUUCGUGUUUUUUUUGUUGGUUUUUAGUACUUAAGAUUUGGUUUGUUGAAAAUUCGGUCGGUAUUGUGGAUCAAACGCGUGAAAUAUUGUGGUGUCGCGCGAGGUGGACGACGCAAUGGCUUUGGCGACAACCGCGUCGUACAUGCCGUCGGUCAGUUCAGCGGUGUCGUCCGAUUUGGACGGAAACGUGCUCGGCGGUAUGAAUAUAGUUAAUGUGAACGCGUCCAUAGGCGGAUACCAUACUAGUCCGUCGCCCCGAUCUAUCGCCGAUAACGAGAUGAAGUACCUGUCGAGCGGCCAACACCAUCACCAUCACCAUCAUCAUCACCAGCUGCCUUCGUCGCCGUCGCCCAACGGUCAUCCGGUGCCUUUGCCGACGACGCAUAAUCCGUGGCUGAGCGUCCAGCACGGGGCCCCCGACUGGUCGAUGGCCGGUCUGCACGGACACCAUUCGCAUCACCAUCAUCCGCACCAGACGAGCUUGGAGAUCGCCAAGCAUCCGGAUAUGCAUCGAGGGCCUCCGUCGCACCAACAGACGGGCACAGCUUCGCCGCAUCCUUGGCAUAUGCCUACCGCUCAUUACGGCCUGUCGACGAAUAACGGCGCCGCGUCGCCGCUCCAGCAUCAUAGCGCUUAUCACGCGAUGAACGGACUGCUAACGCAUCACCAUCAGACCAGUCCGCAGCUGCAUCCUACGCUUAGAGAUAUGCAAAAUCAUAGUCCUUCGUAUCCGUCAAGUCAGCAUCCCGAUGUGCCAUCCGGCGGCGAAGAAGACGCUCCUACCUCCGAUGAUCUCGAAGCUUUCGCCAAGCAAUUCAAACAGCGAAGGAUUAAGCUAGGCUUCACCCAGGCCGACGUCGGCCUGGCCCUAGGUACCUUGUACGGUAACGUUUUCUCGCAGACUACCAUUUGUAGAUUCGAAGCGCUUCAACUAAGCUUUAAAAAUAUGUGUAAGCUGAAACCGCUGCUGCAGAAGUGGCUCGAAGAGGCCGACUCCACCACCGGAUCGCCGACCAGUAUCGAUAAAAUCGCAGCGCAGGGUCGUAAACGUAAAAAACGCACCUCGAUCGAGGUGUCGGUCAAAGGCGCCCUCGAGCAGCAUUUCCACAAACAACCCAAACCAUCGGCUCAGGAGAUCACCUCGCUGGCCGACAGCUUACAGCUCGAGAAGGAGGUAGUCAGGGUAUGGUUCUGCAAUCGAAGGCAGAAAGAGAAACGAAUGACGCCUCCGAAUACCCUGGGAGGACCUCCCGACGGCAUGAUGGACGGUACGUUACCUCCCGGAGGUCCGCACGGACUUCAUCACGGAUACCAUCACCAAGAUAUGCACGGAUCUCCUAUGGGUCAUCAUUCGUCUUCGCAUAGUCCUACGCCCCUGCUCAGUCCUCAGACGAUGGCGCCGCAUCAUUCGCUCGCGGCUCAUUAACGUUUAGCCCAGUGGGAUGUUGAACACUCCAGAACUAUCUCCAAGAUGCAAGAAGAAUUGAAUUAUUUAUGAAAAUAUUGCCUAUCUUAGGUAAUACUUUUCUUCUUCUCAACAUCGCAUCUCAUAUACCAUCUAAUAACGAUAUCAUGAUACGAAAUCAACGCAUGAUUGCUGAUUGCUGAAACGCUGAGCCGAGAGAUGUGUGAAAAUGACAUCUCCAGCCAAAUUGGCUUGAGCAUCGGUGACGACCACUACCAGUAGUCGAUACGCCAAUUUAUACAAUACCAGAUUCGAUUCGAUCGUCGAUUUUUCAUCAUCUACGCGAUACCAAACGUAGAUUCGACCAACAUCGCAAUUUUGCAGUACAAAUUUCGUGUCAUUUCAUCGUAUAGGAAUUAAAAACUACCAUCUUUUUUUAAUAUCCAAGGAGUUGUUUUGGAAAUCUACUAAACGUGUUUCAAUUUCCCACUGUAGGGCUUUACUUAUCGAAAAAUUUCACUUUGAAAAAAAAAACUUGUAUAAAUUUUUAUUCGGCCUUUCCCGGCCUGACUUAACUGUGGUAAUUUGUUUUUACGAUUUUUUUUCUUUCUUUUUUUUUCGCCCCUAUUUUUUUUCUUUUUUUUGUAUAAUGUUUCGUAUAUAAAAUUGUACAUUGAACAAAUUGUAAAGUAACUGUUAUUAUGGGAAUUACGUUGUUUUUUUCUCGUAUUUUUUUUUCUUUUUUUUAGUUAUGUGGCCCGUAUUAUGGUUAGGUUUUUGUUUCCGUUUUUUUUUCAAUAUGUAAAUCUUUUUUUUUCUUUUUUUUUUUGGUUAGAUUUAAGAAUUUUUUUUUUCGAUUUUUUUGACCUAAAAUUGGUUAUGUCGCGUUUGAUUCUCGUCGUGAUUCGUUUCGCGCGUCCCCCUUGUCCCAUUUUUCUCUGUCUGUAUUUUUUUUUUUUUUCGGUUUAACAACGACUUUGGAAAAAAUAACAUACCUUUAAAGUAAACAAAAGUAGAGGCACGUUGGGCUGCUUCUGCAAGUGUGGGAAUGUAAAACCUGCGAAAAAAAGGAAGGAAUUGUUAGCUGUAGAGCUACACGAUGUCGUUGUGUACCUAUAAAAAUACGUAUAUACGAGCUGGCGAGCAAAUAAUGAAAGAUUCGGACCACAUAUGGGUUCGAGAAAUGAAAAAAAAAAUAACAUCGAGACCUACAUUAUUAGUACACUGCAUCUCAGCGAGAGCAUCGACCAAAUUGAAAGAAAAAAAAAACAAGGCAAAGGCGGUUUUGAUUUUUCAACUGUUCAUCGUUCGGUGUAUUAAUGUAUGCAACUUUAUAUACAUAUUAUGAGGCGGCAUUGUUAUCGCGACGAUGGAUAAAUAAACUGCAACGAUGAUUUAAAAGGCUGACGGAUUGAUUUUUCAUCUCUCUCGAUUGGCAGAAUAACUAUACGUCUACGUGUUUUGCAUGCCCUUCGAUGAUGGUCGAGAUCUCAAUGGACACGACGACAACGGUCCAGAGCCUGGCUUUUGCGAGUUUACUCUAAGAUUUGAAUGCCUCUGCAUGCCUAUAAUAACCUAGCUGGGAUCAGCAUCUGUUUCAUAUGACAAUGACAACCGAAGAGUUAUUCCUUUCGAUGAGGGUUUUACAUCCCCCUGCAGGCCCAGGAAUUUUACCAUUUCAUCAACGUACCUGUUCGAUGUAAUUCUACCUUUUUUUUUUUGGUCUUUUUUUGAAAUCAUUAUUCGACAUUACCAAUUUUAGGCUAUAGAUGUGAAUCUUUUAUGUGACAAGUCGAGGGAUUGUACUAGUCGCUAUUUUUUAAGUUGUAUUAUCAGUGUAUUGUUUUUGGCCCGAAUUUGUUUGUUAUUUACUUGAGAUGAAGAUUUUUUUCCGAUGGUUUUGGCUGAAUAAGGGAUGAAAUGGGUCCACAGGGGGUUAGAAUGACUUCUGCAGUAUGAAAUUGGAGAAAUUGGGGUGUCAGUUGUGCACCCAUGUUCUGGAAAUUUCUGAUAUUUUGAAAAAUUUAUUGGUCUAAAAUGAGAACACUUAAUGCUACAAAUUGAUUGUUAUUGUGGAUAGAAUACAAUUUUAAGAGUAUUUUAAAAAGAAGUGGGAAAAUUUGUGCAGUCAGUUGUGCACCCAUGUUCAAGAAAUGUCUGAUAUUUUGAAUAAUUUAUUAGCAUAAAAUGAAACUAAUGAUACAAGUUGAUCGUUAUUGUGGAUAGAAUACAAUUUUACGAGUAUUUUAAAAAUAAGUGUGAAAAUUUGUGCAGUCAGUUGUGCACCCAUAUUCUAGAAAUUUCCGAUAUUUUGAAAAAUUUAUUAGCAUGAACGUAAAAUGAAAAUGAUGAUAUAAGUUGAUUGUUGGUGGAUAAAGUACAAUUCUCCAAGUAUUUUGAAAAGGAAUAUGAAAAUUUGUGCAGUCAGUUGUGCACUCAUUUAUUCUAGAAAUUUCUGAAAUUUUGACAAAUUUAUUAGCCCAUCAUGAAAAUUACAAUAUCAAGUUGAUUGUUGAUAUGCUUGAAGCAUUCUACAGAGAAAUUUAUAAACUUGCACACAUGAUCCAAAAUGUUUCAAUAUUGAAAAAAAAGUCGAAUAAAAGGGUAUGAAUUGAAAAUAACGAUUGCGUUUGAUUAGUAUCAGGGAUAAAAUCAAAUUUUUGAGAUACUCUAAAAAGAAAUAUGAAAAUUUAUUUCGUCGGUUGUGCACUCGUAUUCUGAAAAAUUACUCUAUUUUGAUAGAAUAGUCAAAUAACGUAAAUGAAAUUGUCAUAGGGAUUGGUAAAUUCGAUUUUUUGAUAGAUUGUGAUUCUUGAAGAUGCCAAAAGAGAAAGAUGGCGAUGAACUUGGAAAGUUGUGCACUCACAUUCUAGAAAUUUCCGACCAUUUUAAAAAAUGUAUGCCCAAAAUGAAGUCAAUAAUACGAUGUUAAUAUCUUUACUAUGAACAGAAUACACCUCUCGAAGUAUUCUGAAGAAAAAUAUGAACAUUUGUGUAGUCAGUUGUGCACUCGUAUUCCAAAAUUCAUCGACAUUGGAAAAAAUGUAGAUUUAGAGAGCUCGAAAUAAAAAUGAAAAUAAUAUUUAUUGAUAUCAGUGAUGAAAAAUGACCUUUGAAGAAUUUCAAAAAGAAAUAUAAGUAAAAAUUUAUUUGGUCGGUUGUGCACACAUAUUCUGGGUCUCAAAACCAUCCCUCCUGAAAUAAUUGUCUCUACCCCAAAAUGAUCUCAAAGAUAUUUAAGAAGAAAAUUUGAAUUUUGAUCUGUGAUUUACUCAACUGAGACAAUUAUUUAAAGGGAGGGGCGAUAAAGUACAUUGAAAGUUGUGCACGCAUUUUCUAGAUUUUUUUCAUAAUUUUUGAAAAUAACCAAUUUAUUUAAGCUAAUGAAAGCAACAAAACGACAUCGAGUGAAAAUAUUAUUCACGUAUUCUGUUUUUAUAAAAUUCGCAAGGCUAAAGAAACGUGAAACAUUGUGGUUGGUUGUGCACUCAUUUUUCUUGAUGUCAUAAAAAAUGAACAAUAACAUGAAUUUUUUAUGAUAAAAUAUGAAUCACUGCGCUUUGAUGUUAAGGAAAUUAUAAUAUAAUUAAAAUGUUAUAAUUUUCAUAUAAAUUUUCAAACUGUAAUUUCAGUGGUUCCUAAUCUCAUUCACGUGUGUUUUGCAAAAUUAAUAACCUUGAGCUAUUAAGCUAUAUUUUUUUUUCAAAGUAGUUAUAUGGUCUCAUUAAAUUUUAUAUCACAUUUUUUCAACCAUUACAACAUUGUAAGGAUUUGAAUUUUAUUCCUAAGUGGUUCCUGAAAUAUUUAUAAAAUUUGUGACAUCUUACGUUAUAAAUAUGCCGUUAAUGCAGGCACGUACACCUUUUUCUGGGGAAAAUUUCCAACCACACAAACAGUAGGUAAAUUUUUUUCAUCAAAAAAAUUGUCUCACUAGGUGAAUUUUUCAACAGCGCGGUGGUGAUUUGGAUCAGUUCCAAUUUCACAAAAAAAUUAAUUAUAAUUCAAUUCCAACCUAACUAAGAAAUUUAUUUUUCUUCGAAAGAAAAUGAAGGUAAUAAAGGAUUAAGUUUAAUAGUCAUUCUGUAGUCUUACCUACCAAGUUUAGAAGAGAAAAAAACACGUUUUAAUAAAAUAUUAUAUUUUUUUACUUCAUUCUCUUAUAAUAAUUAUCGCCUUUACAUGCUCGCGUUGUUUUCUUAGAAAUACCACGUUCACGUUGCGCGGUUCAAAUUGCCUGCAAGCGAUUUGUUUCCCUUCGAUGGUCCCCUCCUCUCUUACCACUUCUCGUUCUGGUUUAAUUUUUUCUUUCUUUCUUUCCAUCAAUUUAUCGAUUAAUUUAUGAAAACUCUGCUACUCUAUAUCAUGAAAUGUAAGAGAUGUCUGAUGUAUUAGGCUAUAAUGUUGAACACUCGUCAAGUAUUUGAUAAAUAUUUAUUAUGUGGAUCGUUUUAGUUAUACCUUUCCCCUUCUUCUUUCUCUAAUUGUAUUGAAGAAUCAGUUGUAAAUUCUUUAGUCCCACAAGUGAAAGACAGUGCUGGACUUUUGGUUAAAAAAUUCUGUAAGUAAAAAGAAUCAAAAAUUUAAAAAAAAAUUCAAUUUACUUAUCCAAAAAAUUUCACAUUUUUGGGUCAGAAUUCUAAAUAACCCCCUUUAAAAAAUCUUUCUUUGGUCUUUCCAAAUUGUUUGGACUCAACAAAGUUGGUAAAAAUUGAAUGAAAAAUCCAAGUCUUCAAAACAAAUUUUUGAAAUUGUCCUCUUUCCCUUCUUUCAACAAAAAACAUCUCUCUGUCCCCCAAGAAAUUUUAGUCCUCUCAACCUCUCAUAUUAGAAGCCCUAAAAAUGGAAAAUAAAUAUCAAAGAAUUGAACUGUUUUGGAUUUAUGGUAUUUUGGAAAAUGCAUGAAAUUUGGGAGAAGGAGGAGAGAAAGGUAAAUUUUAAAAAUUAAGAUAGGGCUCGAAAAUUCAAAAAAUUUGGUUUUUGGAGCACAUUUCAGUCUCUAGUUGCCAAAUGGAUUCAAAUUUUGUAUUUGAUUUGAAGUUGGAAAAAAUGUAAUAAUUUAGGAAACAAAAACGUUUUCCAAAAUUUUUUCAUGGUAAUUUUAGGAUCCCCUCGUCCAAAUUUGGGACCAUUAAAAUCAAAGUUGAGAAAUAUUCGGGUUUUGAGGAUUACAUAAUCAGCCCCUAUAUGAGGCCAAAUGGAUUCUAAUUUUGAUUUAAAGUUGAAAUUAGAAAGAAAAAAAAUUCCAAAAAAUUUUCAUUUUGAUCCAAAAAUCAAAAUCAAAAUAGAUUCUGGUUUUGAGGAUUAAAUAAUCGAAAAAAUUCCAUCACUGAAAUGCUGUUUCCAAUUCGUCCCAAUUUACAAAGAUCUUUGAUCGCAUUUUCACCCAAAAUCGACGCAUCUUCGACAUCGAUUAAUCGAUAUUUUCACAUUUCAACAUCUCAACCUCCAAUUUCUCUCACGUAUUCGGUAUAGAAAUCAGGAUUGAAAAUAUUUUUCGCCAACUUCAAACACCAGCUGGAUAUUUUUUGGCAAGUUGAUUAAAAAAAACCGCUUAUGUACGACGACGUUUAAAAUAUUAACCGCGUGCACAACCUACGUGAGAUAAUCGGCUUAUUUUUAAUAUUUUUUCCAUUAGGUACUUUUCGGUUGGUAUUUUUCCCCCUCUACCAUCGUUCGAACGAAUAAUUUAUACAGUUUUUGAUUCCCUUUGAUUGGCUUUGCAAACUGCGAAGAAAAAAAUCUUCAUCGUGAAAAAAUAUGUACUUUUAUUAGUGGCUCAUCCGAUUUAAUUUCCAGACUUGUUACAUUUAAGAUGAAUAGCGACAAUAUGAACAUUCGUUUAAAUCGUUCUCCUCCCAAUUUUUUUUUCUAAUUAUUGUUGUACUCGUAAUUGCGAUUUGAUUUCGUUUCUUUUUUGAAAAAAAACACCGAGAUAAAAAAAUCGAAAAAAUGUAUUAGUUUUUUUGUGCAUACAAAAAAAUGACGAUUGUUAUUAUAAUAUUGGUAAAUUAAAAAAAUUGUUCUUCUUUUUUUUUGUGUGUGUUUGUGUGUUGUAAAUAUCGAUGAUGUAAUAACGUACUACGUAUACCAUUAAAUUAUUAUUUUUUUUAUUAAAUGGUUUAUUUUUGUGUUUUUAAUUUGAGUUUGUUUCGUUAAAUAGAAAACAUUUUGA